GCUUCCUUAGCUCAGUCGGUAGAGCGCGAGUCUCAUACGUUUCUUGUUGAGAACCCUUUAGGUUUAUAAUCUCGAGGUCGCAAGUUCGAGCCUUGCAGGGAGCA